AUUGAACGCUGGCGGCAGGCCUAACACAUGCAAGUCGAACGCGAAAGCUCCUUCGGGAGUGAGUAGAGUGGCGAACGGGUGAGUAACGCGUAGGAAUCUACCCAAGAGUGGGGGACAACCCGGAGAAAUCCGGGCUAAUACCGCAUACGCCCUACGGGGUAAAGUGGGGGACCUUUCGGGGCCUCAUGCUUUUGGAUGAGCCUGCGUCGGAUUAGCUUGUUGGUGAGGUAACGGCUCACCAAGGCGACGAUCCGUAGCUGGUCUGAGAGGAUGACCAGCCACACUGGGACUGAGACACGGCCCAGACUCCUACGGGAGGCAGCAGUGGGGAAUAUUGGACAAUGGGGGCAACCCUGAUCCAGCCAUGCCGCGUGUGUGAAGAAGGCCCUAGGGUUGUAAAGCACUUUCAGUGGGGAAGAAAAGCCUGAGGUUAAUAACUUCGGGUUAUGACGGUACCUACAGAAGAAGCACCGGCUAAUUCCGUGCCAGCCGCCGCCGUAACAC
rnacentral:rRNA from 1 species